UGGCCCAAUCCAGCUGAUUCUUGAUCCAGGCAGUCGCAGAUAUUCCGGCGUCCGGCGGAGGUCGAGACUACGCUGCUUCGGAUGACGCUAGUUGCCAUGCAACCACCGAUAUGGAUGCGCACUCAAUGUGUUGAACUCUAGAUCUCCAGCAACAUGUGGUUUCUCUCUUUCAUCCAAGGUUCCCCGCGGCUAACGGUAAACAAAACCUAUAGGCUAUGGACUGCUCUUGAACUUAUCAAAAUUGGUAUUUAUUUUGCAAAAUUCACUGCUAUUUGAGGCGUUAUCUCGUUCGAUCCGUUUAUUGAACUCGACCGUUGCACUUUUUUGGACAAUUGUGCACUCGAAUCGCUGGAAACUGGUUUCAAAUGCAAAUAAAGCACUUUGGUGGUCACCACUCACUUA